UACGUAGGGGGCAAGCGUUGUCCGGAUUUAUUGGGCGUAAAGAGCGUGUAGGCGGCCAUGCAGGUCAGCUAGUGAAACUCGAGCUCAACCUCGAGACGAUCGGUUGAAACCGUAUGGCUAGAGUCCGGAAGAGGAGAGUGGAAUUCCCGGUGUAGCGGUGAAAUGCGCAGAUAUCGGGAAGAACACCUAUGGCGAAGGCGGGUCUCUGGGCAGUAACUGACGCUGAGGAGCGAAAGCGUGGGGAGCGAACAGG
rnacentral:rRNA from 1 species